UACGGAGGGUGCAAGCGUUAUCCGGACUCACUGGGCUUAAAGGGUGCGUAGGUGGGUUGGUAAGUCAGUGGUGAAAUCUCCGUGCUUAACAUGGAAACUGCCAUUGAUACUACUGAUCUUGAAUUUUCAGGAGGUAAGCGGAAUAUGUCAUGUAGCGGUGAAAUGACUUAGAUAUGACAUAGAACACCAAUUGCGAAGGCAGCUGACUACAGGGAAUGAUUGACACUGAGGCACG
rnacentral:rRNA from 1 species